GACGAACGCUGGAGGCGUGCUUAAUACAUGCAAGUCGAACGAACUCGACCUUCGGGUCACAUGAGUGAGUGGCGAACGGGUGAGUAACACGUGAGAAACCUGCCUCGAAGUUUGGGAUAACCCAGGGAAACUCGGGCUAAUACCAAAUACCUUCCAAGAAUCGCCUGGUUCAUGGAAGAAAGAUUUAUCGCUUUGAGAGGGUCUCGCGGCCUAUCAGUUAGUUGGUGAGGUAACGGCUCACCAAGACAUCGACGGGUAGCUGGUCUGAGAGGACGAUCAGCCACACUGGGACUGAGACACGGCCCAGACUCCUACGGGAGGCAGCAGUAGGGAAUCUUGCACAAUGGGCGAAAGCCUGAUGCAGCGACGCCUCGUGGGGGAUGAAGGCCCUAGGGUCGUAAACCCCUUUCAGUAGGGACGAAAAUGACGGUACCUACAGAAGAAGCUCCGGCCAACUACG
rnacentral:rRNA from 1 species